ensembl:scaRNA small Cajal body-specific RNA 11
CAGUCCAGCUUUCAAUUUGUGCUCCUCCUGCCAAAACUGUGGCAGAGAGCUUGGGGAUGGACGUAAAUAAAACACUCUUAUCUUAGGAGGACUUCUUCAAGUGUUGAACUGUCCUCAAAGGCACAAGAGAACAUC